rnacentral:rRNA from 1 species
AGCGAACGCUGGCGGCAGGCCUAACACAUGCAAGUCGAACGAAGUCUUCGGACUUAGUGGCGGACGGGUGAGUAACACGUGGGAACGUGCCUUUAGGUUCGGAAUAACUCAGGGAAACUUGUGCUAAUACCGAAUGUGCCCUUCGGGGGAAAGAUUUAUCGCCUUUAGAGCGGCCCGCGUCUGAUUAGCUAGUUGGUGGGGUAAUGGCCCACCAAGGCUACGAUCAGUAGCUGGUCUGAGAGGAUGACCAGCCACAUUGGGACUGAGACACGGCCCAAACUCCUACGGGAGGCAGCAGUGGGGAAUCCUGCGCAAUGGGCGAAGGCCUGACGCAGCCAUGCCGCGUGGAUGAUGAAGGUCUUAGGAUUGUAAAAUCCUUUCACCGGUGAAGAUAAUGACUGUAGCCGGAGAAGAAGCCCCGGCUAACUUCGUGCCAGCAGCCGCAGUAAGAC